GUAUGAGCUACACUUUGAAACACCACGGGGAGCCACGCCAGGCUUGUGGCCAUUUAUUUAGUCAUGUUUUGGUCAACCACCUGUUUUGUUUUGUUGUUUUUUUUUUUAAGUCGUAACUGUUCAUUAGUGAAGGAGUUAACUUGAGCUUGUUUGUACAUUGGACAUUUGGUUAAAAGGACAACCUCUCCCUAAUAAAGCAAAACCUACACUUUGAGAUUAAUGCUGAAAGAUGACGAAUGUGCAGAGAGAGAAUAAGAGAGAUUCCAUCCAUUGGUUCACUCCCCCAGAUGCCUGUUCCAGCUGGGGCUGGAACAGACCGAAGUCAGGAUCCAGGAACUCCAUCUGGGUCUCCCAUAGGGGUGCAGGAACCCCAGUACUUGGGCCAUCAUCUACUGCCUCCCAGGCAUGUUAGCAGGAAGCUGGAUCAGAACAGAGUCUGGUUGCCUCUCUCCCUGUCCACCGCCUUUCAGCUGUGCUGCCGUCUCGGAACGCUUCCAGGACAGAUGCACCUGCACCAGGUUUGGGUAGCCUGGGGUCCAGGUGAUCCCUGAGAGUCAAAGCAGAAGUGGUCACAAGCCAGGGCUUGAGGUCUGGAUGAAGCUGGAAACGCGAGCUCCACGGUGGCCUCAUCAAGGAGAGACUGAGCUGAGAUCUGCUCAGGGAGGGAAGAGAACGGAGGCAACACCCGGUGAGGUCACUGUUGGCAGA